CAAGGUGGUUAUAGCGGCGGGGAUACACCUCUUCCCUUACCGAACAGAGAAGUUAAGCCCGCUUGCGCCGAUGGUACUGCACACAAUGUGGAAGAGUAGGCAGCCGCCAAAA
rnacentral:rRNA from 1 species